rnacentral:rRNA from 1 species
GACGAACGCUGGCGGCGUGCCUAAUACAUGCAAGUAGAACGCUGAAGGAGGAGCUUGCUUCUCUGGAUGAGUUGCGAACGGGUGAGUAACGCGUAGGUAACCUGCCUGGUAGCGGGGGAUAACUAUUGGAAACGAUAGCUAAUACCGCAUAAUAGUAGAUGUUGCAUGACAUUUGCUUAAAAGGUGCAAUUGCAUCACUACUAGAUGGACCUCCGUUGUAUUAGCUAGUUGGUGGGGUAACGGCUCACCAAGGCGACGAUACAUAGGCGACCUGGGAGGGGGGACGGCCCCACUGGGACUGGGACCCCGCCCAGACUCCUACGGGGAGGAGCAGUAGGGGAACUUCGGGAAUGGGCGGAAGUCUGACCGGACAACGCCGCGUGAGUGGAGAAGGUUUUCGGAUCGUAAAGCUCUGUUGUAAGGGAAGAACGAGUGUGGGAGUGAAAAGUUCACACUGUGACGGUAUCUUACCAGAAAGCGACGGCUAACUACGUG